rnacentral:tRNA from 1 species
GGCCCUGGGUGGGGCGGCGGCUGACCGGCCGCUCCUCGGGGGACGGGCUCCCGGCGAAGCGGCCGGAGCUGCUGCCGUACGAGCCGCCGCCGGGGCCG